rnacentral:rRNA from 2 species
ACGGAAGGUCCAGGCGUUAUCCGGAUUUAUUGGGUUUAAAGGGAGCGUAGGCCGCCCCUUAAGCGUGUUGUGAAAUGCCGCGGCUCAACCGUGGCACUGCAGCGCGAACUGGGGGGCUUGAGUGCACGCAACGCAGGCGGAAUUCGUGGUGUAGCGGUGAAAUGCUUAGAUAUCACGAAGAACUCCGAUUGCGAAGGCAGCUUGCGGGAGUGCGACUGACGCUGAAGCUCGAAGGUGCGGGUAUCGAACAG